GAAGGGUGCUAGCGUUGUUCGGAAUCACUGGGCGUAAAGCGCGCGUAGGCGGUUUACCAAGUCAGGGGUGAAAUCCUGGGGCUCAACCCCAGAAUUGCCUUUGAAACUGGUUGACUGGAGUGUCGGAGGGGAUAGCGGAAUUGCUAAUGUAGCGGUGAAAUGCGUAGAUAUUAGCAGGAACACCGGUGGCGAAGGCGGCUAUCUGGACGACAACUGACGCUGAGGCGCGAAAGCGCGGGGAUCAAACAGGAUUAGAUACCCUGGUAGUCCGCGCUGUAAACGAUGGAUGCUAGCCGUUGUGGGGUUACCUCUCAGUGGCGUAGCUAACGCGUUAAGCAUCCCGCCUGGGGAGUACGGUCGCAAGAUUA
rnacentral:rRNA from 1 species